rnacentral:rRNA from 1 species
CACGUCGGGCGCGCGCGUUGUCCGGACUUCUUGGGCGUAACGAGCUCGUAGGCGGCCUGUUGCGUCCGCUGUGAAAGCCCGGGGCUUAACCCCGGGUCGGCAGUGGAUACGGGCAGGCUAGAGGUAGGUAGGGGAGAAUGGAAUUCCCAGUGUAGAGGUGAAAUUCGUAGAUAUUGGGAAGAACACCGGUGGCGAAGGCGGCGACCUGGUCCUUGACUGACGCUGAGGCGCGAAAGCGUGGGGAGCAAACAGG